GUGAUCUAAGUCAGGAAGCAUUUUUAGUUUUUCUUAUGGAUAGGCAGAGAGAAAACUUAUUAGUGAUACAAAUUCAAGAAGGCUAGAAGAAUGUCACUUGUCUUAAUACACGGAGUACUCACAAAUAAGAAUUAGAAGCUGGAUUCAUUGUUAACAUGGUUUGCCUAGUCUCCUGCUUGAGAGACCUUAAUCAAGAUGUAGGUGACAACUGUGUUAGCUAACAUGUGAUUCUAAUGGACUUUUAAGACAAAAUAAUAUGACUUCUGGAUUCCCUGAAAAGCUACAGCUUUGUUAAAGGCCACCACAGAAGGGAAUAUCAUUUGUUAGACCUUUGAAAGAGUAAGCUGGGAUACAUGCCAUUUCCCUGUGCAAGAUGCCAUUUGAAAAAUAGUUUGGACAUGGAGAAGAUAAGAUCAUCAGGACAAAAUGGACACAUUUGAUGAAGAUGUUUGAUUAAGUACCACCAUCUGUUAAGUUUUUUAUGAAAAUACUCCCAGGGUUCCAGGGAUGUAAAUAGUUUUGAGGACAGUAUUGUGAUAAGAUGGAUUACCUGAGUGGACAAUGGGAAUAAAACAAUGAAACAGGAAUUCCCA
rnacentral:lncRNA from 13 species